rnacentral:lncRNA from 1 species
AUGGUCUCACGCGCACGCUCUGGCACACAGUCACAUGCUCCCUGCAGCCGGUCACUCCUGCCACACCCGCCAGCCGCAGGGCCUUCAGCUGGUGUCUGUGUGCAGUUCCAGCCCCAUGCUGGGAUCCGGGUGCGUCCCCUACAGCUAGCCAGCAGGCAGCCUGGCAUCCGAGAAAAACAGGCCUUACCUCCCGACUCCAACUGCUUAGAACCAGUAACUACACUCACCCCUAUACAAAAGCACACAUUGUACCCGGACGCGUCAGCGUCCUCCGAGGACAAUCGAGCGCUGUCUGGCCAGAACAUUGUGCUUGGCAUCAGGCAUCUGGCAAAGAGCGACUGCACGACCCAGAUCCAGGUAGUUAAGUCUUCCAGCGCUGGACCACAUUUCUCGAGGUCCUUUGCGGUCACAGCACUCCGCAGGAUCGCAGUCUCUUCCUCCCCUGAAAGUUUCCAUUGGCUUCCCAAAUGCGGCUUCUAGGGGCACUCCUGGACAAAUGCGUGGACAAGUGGCAACGGCUGAGUAGGGGACCACCCUCAAAACACAAGCAAGAACAGUCAUUUUACGGGAAUCAGAUUGUUCCCUAAGGCCUUAAGGACUUCUCCAGAACCAGCUUGCAGAACCAGUCCUGAGAUAAAGAUUGCUCAGACCCAACUUGACCAGAAUUACAUACCUUACCAACUAUGCAAACCCCCAGCCCUUGACCUUGUUUCCCCCGAAGUUUUUUUUUUGACACCGGUCUCACUCUGUAAUACAGGCUGACCUGAAACUCACCUUGAGGCUCGGGCUGGCCUUGAACUCCGACCUCGCCUCCCCCGUGCUGGGAUUACAGGUGUACCCCACCACACUCAGCUUGAUCUUUUCUACACAAUCCUAAGGUUCAUGUCAGUUCCUGGAACACAGAUUUUUUUUUUUUUUUUUUUUUGACAGGGUCGCGCUCCGUAAUUCAGGCUGGCCUUGAACUCAUUAUGUAGCUGGCCUCAAAUUUGAAGCGAUCCUCCUGCUUUAGCCCAGGCUUGUGCCACCGUGCCUGGCUGACAGAUCUUGAACUCUUACCUGUGCUUCCAGCAUGGCCAUGGCUCUUUUCCUACCCUUCACCACUAUUCAUUUCCUUGAUUGGUGUUUUGGGACCAUUAUCGGGUUUUUAAGGUGCUGGUGUCGCCCAUGAGAGGUGGUUUCUAGGUUCUUUUUGUCCUGAUCAAAUAAUUUGUCAAGAGAAGUGUAAAUGAUAGCAAGGUUUUACAUUUAUUAAAGGUAGGAAAAGAAGCAGUCUCUGCAGAGUGAGUGUGGGCCAAGUAAAAGUUUGUUUGUUUGUUUUUUAAGUAAAAGUAUUUUUUUUAAAAAAAGUACACUCUACAGCAUAAGAGUAAAACCUAGAGUGAAAGAACGUAGUAGAGGAAAACUCAAUGUGGAUUUUCCUUUUUAUUUUAUUUUUUUAAAUUUUAUUUUAUUUUAGAUUUUUUUCCGGUACUGGGAAUCGAACUCACAGCCUCGCACUUGCCAAGCAAGCACCGUGCCACUGAGCUAAAUCCCCCAGGCCCAGAUUUUCCUUUUUUUUUUUUGGUUUUUCUCCAGUACCGGGAACCGAACUCACGACCUUGCACUUGCCAGGGAGGCGCUUUUGCCGCUGAGCUAAAUCCCCAGCCCCCAGGUUUUCCUUUUUAUAUCACUCAUUCCUCAGGCAGAUGUCAUCUCUAAGCCACUCUACUGAAAAAUUGCUCAAGUUCUCAAGAAAAAUCCAUGAAAAGGACUCCGGGAAUUGUUGUGGGUAUUUGUCCUGGAAUUUUGUUAUUAAGAGAUCACACCUACUUCUCUUGUCACCUUUGCCAUUCCCUAGUCUUCUGCCUCAGGACUGAUGGCCAUAGUCUGUUGGGGCACUGUGAGCCAGGGCUUUCACUGUAAAACUCAAGUAGCAUUGUUGCGUAUGUGUUCAUCAGUGAGAGUGAUGUAAAUAUUUUUCUCUUGAGUAUCUUUUAAAGUUCAUUGUCUAUUUUAUCUCAUAAAAUAGAGUAUGUUCUGACUUUUA